rnacentral:rRNA from 1 species
GGGCCUAAGGUGAGGGCGAGAGCCGUAGCCGAUGGACAACAGGUGGAGAUUCCUGUACUAUGAUAUGACAGAACUGUGGGGACACGUGCAGAGAGCGGAAGCCGGGAAUGGAAUCCCGGUGCAAGCGAGGUACCAGUCACAUUGGAAAAACCGUGUGGCAAUGGGAAGACGUGAUGCGGAGUGAAAAAUAGUAACGAAGUCCGUGAGCUGUGCGUCAAGAAAAGCCGCUAUUGUUCAUACCAUACCCGUACCGUAAACCGACACAGGUGGAUGAGGAGAGGAUCCUAAGGCCGGCGGAAGAAGCAUUGUCAAGGAACUCGGCAAAAUGACCCCGUAACUUCGGGAGAAGGGGUGCCACUGAAAAGUGGCCGCAGAGAAUAGGCUCAAGCAACUGUUUAGCAAAAACACAGGUCUAUGCGAAACCGUAAGGUGAGGUAUAUGGGCUGACGCCUGCCCGGUGCUGGAAGGUUAAGAGGAGAGGUUAGCGCAAGCGAAGCUUUGAAUUUAAGCCCCAGUAAACGGCGGCCGUAACUAUAACGGUCCUAAGGUAGCGAAAUUCCUUGUCGGGUAAGUUCCGACCCGCACGAAAGGCGUAAUGAUUUGAGCGCUGUCUCGACAAUGCAUCCGGUGAAAUUGAAGUACCAGUGAAGAUGCUGGUUACCUGCGCCAGGACGGAAAGACCCCAUGGAGCUUUACUCCAGUUUGGUACUGGGAUCCGGUACUGCAUGUACAGGAUAGGUGGGAGGCUGUGAUGUAGUAACGCCAGUUAUUACGGAGCCGCUGUUGGGAUACCACCCUUGCAGUAUUGGGUUUCUAACCAGCCGCCGUGACCCGGCGGUGGGACAAUGCCAGACGGGGAGUUUGACUGGGGCGGUCGCCUCCGAAAGGGUAUCGGAGGCGCCUAAAGGUUCCCUCAGAAUGGACGGAAACCAUUCGAAGAGUGCAAAGGCAGAAGGGAGCUUGACUGCGACACCGACGGGUGGAGCAGGUACGAAAGUAGGGCUUAGUGAUCCGGUGGUAUUAAGUGGGAAUGCCAUCGCUCAACGGAUAAGAGCUACCUGGGAUAACAGGCUUAUCACUCCCAAGAGUUCACAUCGACGGAGUGGUUUGGCACCUCGAUGUCGGCUCAUCGCAUCCUGGGGCUGUAGUAGGUCCCAAGGGUUGGGCUGUUCGCCCAUUAAAGCGGUACGCGAGCUGGGUUCAGAACGUCGUGAGACAGUUCGGUCCCUAUCCGGCGUGGGCGUAGGAUAUCUGAGAGGAGCUGUCCUUAGUACGAGAGGACCGGGAUGGACGGGCCGCUGGUGCACCGGUUAGACUGCCAAGUCUAUAGCCGGGUAGCCAAGCCCGGAAGGGAUAAACGCUGAAGGCAUCUAAGCGUGAAGCCCCCCUCAAGAUGAGAUAUCCCAUCCGAAAGGAGUAAACCCCCUUGAAGACGACGAGGUUGAUAGGGCAGGGGUGGAAGUAUGGUAACAUAUGGAGCUGACUGCUACUAAUAGGGUGAGGGCUUGACC